UACGUAGGUCCCGAGCGUUGUCCGGAUUUAUUGGGCGUAAAGCGAGCGCAGGCGGUUUGAUAAGUCUGAAGUUAAAGGCUGUGGCUCAACCAUAGUUCGCUUUGGAAACUGUCAAACUUGAGUGCAGAAGGGGAGAGUGGAAUUCCAUGUGUAGCGGUGAAAUGCGUAGAUAUAUGGAGGAACACCGGUGGCGAAAGCGGCUCUCUGGUCUGUAACUGACGCUGAGGCUCGAAAGCGUGGGGAGCGAACAGGAGUAGAUACCCCGGUGCUGACUGACU
rnacentral:rRNA from 1 species